GGUGAAAGAUUUAGCGAUGCCUAUUUUUUUGUGAUAAACCUUUCCCAUAUACACGCCGUGUAUCAUGUAUGGGGUCUAUCCGUUUGGCAUACAGUCGUUUAUAAUGGGCAGUGCUUCGUAAGCAAGCUUGCUCUACACAGCAAAAAAUUAUGUAAUAUGGCUCGACGUAAUACCGUUGAUGUAAAAAAAUUCCGAUGUAAUCGUGUUUUCCAGAUACAUAAUCACACCGGUUCGAUGUUAAAUUACGUCCAUUUGAAAUUACACAGAAGUGGAAUUUAUUUUUUUCAUUAUGUUGGAUAUAUGUAAUAUUUACAUGAACGGAAUGUGAAUAUUACACGCAAACAGCUGCAACCAACUCGUUGCGGCUAAGUUGGGUAAAAUCACACAACAUCAAUUUAAGAUCGCAUUCUUUUGAAAUGCGAUAUUAAAUCUAGCAACACUGUUCUGAUUUUGUUGCGCACGCGUGCUCGGCCUCAAGCCGCCAUUUUCAGUUUACCGCAACCGAUGGAUGUUGUGUUUUGGAAAAUCAUUGACGGUGUUGAUACAUAUUGCAAUGAGUGAUGUUCCGAUGCCAAGGAACUUCAUUCGGAAUAUUUUUUCUGAAAAUCUUCAAUUCCAGCAUUCUUAAAUGACGGAACACAACUGUUGCUGUCCGAAAUCAGCCUAUCAGCGGCCUAAAGAACGCCGUCAAGAGUGAAUCCUUGAAAAUAUGGAGAAAGCUCGUCGGAUCGAGUGAAACCAAAGGAAUCGAGUGCGAAAAAAAGCGACCACCCAGCGCUCCACGCUAAAGAAUCGUUAUCGAUUCCUCCAAACUACAGGUCAACCGAAUGCGUUGGCAGCAUCUACGUCUUGCUUGCUCAGCGAUGGAUCAAAGAACGUAUUUCGGUAGCGGUUCGGUGUACCUGUCUCCUCAAGCUGUAACAAAUUUCCAACCGGAAGAAUCAACAAUAAAAGGGGAUGUUGCGCUGGAAGCUACAUCAUCCUCAUCUACAAAACUUCCGCCACAGCAACGUUUCGUCAACAGACAGCGUGGACCUCAACCUGGUAAAUAUAAACCAUUGGAUGAAGGCUACGAUUCCAUCGCACAUGGCAAAAAACGAACCAUUCCUGGCUGGUCCACCGAAGGCACACGGGUGACCAUGAUUUCGCUCUACAUGGGAUGUAGCGGAGACACCAGCUGCUCCGCUGUUUUGGAACGGCACGAAAAACAUAAACGAGCUCUACGAUUCAUUUCACUGUUGGCUGAAAGAAACUAAUCACUACCUGAAGUGCCUGCAGGCUUGAAUUUAAUCUCUGUCCACUGCGGGUUCUCGGACUAUCACCUGAAGCGCUCCAGUCGUUAUGCUGCAUCAUUUUAAAGUUUUUGAAGCAAUAAAAAUGAAAUAAAUAAUGUAAAUUUA